rnacentral:rRNA from 1 species
UACGUAUGGAGCAAGCGUUAUCCGGAUUUACUGGGUGUAAAGGGAGCGCAGGCGGUCUGGCAAGUCUGAUGUGAAAGGCCGGGGCUCAACUCCGGGACUGCAUUGGAAACUGUCAGACUGGAGUGUCGGAGAGGUAAGCGGAAUUCCUAGUGUAGCGGUGAAAUGCGUAGAUAUUAGGAGGAACCCCAGUGGCGAAGGCGGCUUACUGGACGAUGACUGACGCUGAGGCUCGAAAGCGUGGGGAGCAAACAGG